UACGUAGGGUGCGAGCGUUGUCCGGAAUUAUUAGGCGUAAAGGGCUCGUAGGCGGUUUGUCGCGUCGGGCGUGAAAACCCAGGGCUUAACCCUGGGCUGGCUUCCGAUACGGGCAGACUAGAGGUAUGCAGGGGAGAACGGAAUUCCUGGUGUAGCGGUGAAAUGCGCAGAUAUCAGGAGGAACACCGGUGGCGAAGGCGGUUCUCUGGGCAUUACCUGACGCUGAGGAGCGAAAGUGUGGGGAGCGAACAGG
rnacentral:rRNA from 1 species